UGGGGAAUAUUGCACAAUGGGCGCAAGCCUGAUGCAGCCAUGCCGCGUGUGUGAAGAAGGCCUUCGGGUUGUAAAGCACUUUCAGCGAGGAGGAAGGUGGUGAGCUUAAUACGCUCAUCAAUUGACGUUACUCGCAGAAGAAGCACCGGCUAACUCCGUGCCAGCAGCCGCGGUAAUACGGAGGGUGCAAGCGUUAAUCGGAAUUACUGGGCGUAAAGCGCACGCAGGCGGUUUGUUAAGUCAGAUGUGAAAUCCCCGGGCUAACCUGGGAACUGCAUUUGAAACUGGCAAGCUAGAAGUCUCGUAGAGGGGGGUAGAAUUCCAGGUGGUAGCGGUGAAAUGCGUAGAGAUCUGGAGGAAUACCGGUGGCGAAGGCGGCCCCCUGGACGAAGACUGACCGCUCAGGU
rnacentral:rRNA from 1 species